ensembl:lncRNA
GGGGCGGGGGGGAGGGCGUUGACCACGGCCCUCUGAUGGGCUUGGGGGCGGAAGCGGCUUCCAUGCCCAUCGCGAGGCGCCGGUUCAGUCAGUCGGUGUCCAUCCGGACCACAGACCACAGACCCCUGCUUUGGAAAACAACAAGAUGCAGUUCGUAAACCCUUGCAAAGAUCUCUGAGGUCAGGUGACUGGCUUUGCAACCAAAAGCGAGUCAGGGAAUAAGAUCCUCCCCUGCUUAGGAGUUUUCUUUCCUGUCUGUCCCAGAGGCCAGAGAGCACCCGAGGGCGGUUUCCCAGGCAGCGGAAAGAGGAGGAGGACCAAGCCGAGCCGGGGGAAACCAAGCUUUCCUCCUGAAGUUUGGAUGCCUGCCCCUUGCACGUUGGUGCCCUUCCCCUUUCUUCCUACUGUCCCGGGAGUGGGCGCCCUCGCGCGCUUUCUGAUUCUGCAGCACUAAGCUCCUCGGAGACGGUGACAGCGUGGCAAACAGAAUCGGAAGCGUCCUUGGCCCACAGCCUGCGAUCCCAGCCUGCUCUCCAGAGAAGUGACAUCCGUCCGCUUUAAGCUGGGUGACCACCUGCAGCGACACCCUUUUGAAAGCGGUGCUCACUAAGUCGGUCCACUUCUUUUGGACGUCCUCCAGCACUUCCUGUCGGGCCUCGUCUUGUCGCUGCAGUUCUCCGAUCUGCUCCUCCUGCAGGCGCGAGGCGGCUUGCGCUCUCUCCAGCCGUCCCUGCAGCGACCUCAGCUUCCCUUCCAGACCGUCUGCCUUUUGCAUCCAUUCGGCCAGGACCACCUUCAGGUUGGCCAGGGCUCCGGCGUGCUGCUUCUCUGCUUCCCGGGAGGCGGACAGCUGGAGGGCAGUCUCCUCUUUCUGCUGGGUGACCGCAGUCAGUUGCUCCUGCAGGGACCCGAGCCGGGCAGCGGCCCGCUGGCUCGCCUUCUGCAUGGCGCGGGAAGAUGACAGGAGCCUCUCCUCUAGCGCCGUGACUUUCCUCCUGAGUUGAGCCGCUCUGUCUCCUGCCAGCCGCGCUGCCCGGAGAUGCGCGCGUCUUCGCAUUCUGAAGCCUGCGUCCGAGACCUCCCCAGCUCCUGGCCUAAGCGCGCUUCCUGGUCCCGCAAAAGGCGAACCUCCUCCCGCAGGGCGCAGUUUUCCACUCGUUCCUGUCUCAGCGCCAGCGCCGCCUCAUCUCUCUCGUGCUGAAAGAGAAUGCUCUUUUCCUGCAUGGAGGUCACUGCAUUGAGAAGCUGGCCUAAUUCCCCAGCCCGGCCCUGUUCUUUUUCUCUCAGGAGGCACUCAAAAGCCAGAGCCGCCUUCUUCACGGAGACGCAUUCGAAUUCCUUCUCCCUCAGCGUCACAGAGAGGCGCAUGUUCGUCUCUUGUAAGGCUUGGUUUUCGGCGUCCUUCUCCCUGGACCUUUCCAGCAGUUUUGCAUUUUCCUGUUUGACUUGGCACGCAUCCGCUUCCAGAUGGCCUAUCCUCUCCUUCAGGUUUGUCACCGCCUGCCUCAAAAGUUCGUUUUCGCUCGCUUGGGUCGUGAGGUCUUCCCUCAGAGAAAGGAAUUCCUCCCUCUGCGCCUCGAUUAAGAGCUCUUUGUCCUCCAGCGUGUUCUGCAAAGCCUCUUGUUUCUCCUUGAGCCGCUGAAUUUCGGAAUCCGUCUGUGCCUGCCGUUCCCUCUCCAGUUCCGAGGUGGCGGCCAUCGCCUCGGACAGUCUCUGAGUCUCCUCCUGGAGGCUUCUGAUGGCUGCGUCUUUUUCCUCCGUGGCUCGCCUUAAGGCUUCCAUCUCUGCUGGCGGCCCUUUCGAAGGCUCGCCCAGCGCCUCGGACUUAAUUGCCUCCUGAGAGCCGGCUGCCUCGCAAGUCCGCGACGAUGCGGCGG